GUGCAAACGUUGUUCGGAAUUACUGGGCGUAAAGCGAGUGUAGGCGGUUUGGUAAGUCGGAUGUGAAAGCCCCGGGCUCAACCCGGGAAGUGCACUCGAUACUGCCAAGCUAGAGUAUCGGAGAGGUUGGUGGAAUUCUCGGUGUAGAGGUGAAAUUCGUAGAUAUCGAGAGGAACACCGGUGGCGAAGGCGGCCAACUGGACGAAUACUGACGCUGAGACUCGAAAGCGUGGGGAGCAAACAGG
rnacentral:rRNA from 1 species